rnacentral:rRNA from 1 species
UACAGAGGUGACAAACGUUGUCCGGAAUUAUUGGGCGUAAAGGGCGCGUAGGUGGUUGAGUAAGUCAGGUGUGAAAGCUCUGGGCUUAACCCAGGAAUUGCAUCUGAUACUGCUCGGCUUGAGUACGGUAGAGGAGGGUGGAAUUCCCAGUGUAGCGGUGAAAUGCGUAGAUAUUGGGAGGAACACCGGUGGCGAAGGCGGCCCUCUGGACCGAAACUGACACUGAAGCGCGAAAGCUAGGGAGCAACGG